CGCCAGGUGCCCAGGUUGCUGUUUACGUCAUCAAUCGUUUUCGUCUGCAGUGCAAAAUAGGGCCCUAAAGUUCGACGUGUUUAUUUGAAUUAGGCCACCAUGUUAAAGUUCAACCAUUAAACUGUGUUAUUAUAAUGAGAUGAGAUUGUAGAGAUUGACGUCGACGUAAUCAGUGAAAAUAUAUCAUCACCAUUGAGCCCUCAAAAUGUCGUGAAUGACCGACCAUGGCACUUUGCAAGAUGGAGGAGAUCCUACACCUGAGCCAAGGCCACCGACAAUGAAAGAAAAUAGAGGCUACCCGAAAGGACCCAUGGUCACAUACCGAUAUACCAACAGCCGGCUUUUUCUGCUUAAAUUUUCAUGAUGCAGGUUCAACACAAUCAUCUGCCUACUAUUGAAGUUGAUAGAUCAUAUCGCUAACCCUGGCAUAGACAACCUUGAGCCAGUCCAGCCUUUAAAUUCUUCCAUCAAAGUUCAGAAAAUGUAAAAUGCGUAAUUUUUUAUUUGUUUAAUGUAUCAAUUCUUUUAUAGGGAAAGUUAAGCAAGUUGCUCAUCAUCAUCAUGUUCAUCAUCGUUUUCAUCUUCAUCAUCUCUCGACUGAUCUCAUCUUCUGGACAACCUAGAAAACCUCAUGUAUGUCACCGUA